rnacentral:rRNA from 1 species
GUGUCAGCAGCCGCGGUAAUACGUAGGGUGCGAGCGUUAAUCGGAAUUACUGGGCGUAAAGCGUGCGCAGGCGGUUUGUUAAGACAGGCGUGAAAUCCCCGGGCUCAACCUGGGAACUGCGCUUGUGACUGGCAGGCUAGAGUACGGCAGAGGGGGGUGGAAUUCCACGUGUAGCAGUGAAAUGCGUAGAGAUGUGGAGGAACACCAAUGGCGAAGGCAGCCCCCUGGGUCGAUACUGACGCUCAUGCACGAAAGCGUGGGUAGCAAACAGGAUUAGAAACCCCCGUAGUCC